GGCCGACUAGCUCAGCUGGUUAGAGCGUCGUGCUAAUACGCCUAUGUGUGUAUACGCGAAGGUCUUGGGUUCGAUCCCCACGUUGGCCA